GUGAGGAAUUUUGCGCAAUGGGGGCAACCCUGACGCAGCGACGCCGCGUGGAGGACGAAGUCUUUCGGGAUGUAAACUCCUGUCAGUGGGGACGAUAAUGACGGUACCCACAGAGGAAGCACCGGCUAACUCCGUGCCAGCAGCCGCGGUAAGACUGAGGGUGCAAGCGUUGUUCGGAAUUACUGGGCGUAAAGCGUAUGUAGGCGGCAAGUUAAGUUCAAUGUUAAAGCCCACGGCUCAACCGAGGAGAUGACUUGAAUACUGGCUAACUAGAGGGUGUUAGAGGAAGACGGAAUUCCCAGUGUAGCGAUGAAAUGCGUAGAUAUUGGGAGGAACAUCGGUAGCGAAAGCGGUCUUCUUGGACAUACCUGACGCUGAGGUACGAAAGCGAAGGGAGCAAACAGGAUUAGAUACCCUUGUAGUCC
rnacentral:rRNA from 1 species